UACGUAGGGGGCUAGCGUUGUCCGGAAUCAUUGGGCGUAAAGAGCGUGUAGGCGGCCCGGUAAGUCCGCUGUAAAAGUCAAAGGCUCAACUUUUGAAUGUCAGUGGAUACUGCCGGGCUAGAGUCCGGAAGAGGCGAGUGGAACUCCUGGUGUAGCGGUGGAAUGCGCAGAUAUCAGGAAGAACACCAACGGCGAAGGCAGCUCGCUGGGACGGUACUGACGCUGAGACGCGAAAGCUAGGGGAGCGAACAGG
rnacentral:rRNA from 1 species